UAGGGAAUCUUCGGCAAUGGGGGGAACCUUGACCGAGCAACGCCGCGUGAGUGAAGAAGGCUUUCGGAUCGUAAAGUUCUGUUGUUAAGGAAGAACGAGCGUGAGAAUGGAAAGUUCAUGCUGUUACGGUACUUAACCAGAAAGGGACGGCUAACUACGUGCCAGCAGCCGCGGUAAUACGUAGGUCCCGAGCGUUGUCCGGAUUUAUUGGGCGUAAAGCGAGCGCAGGCGGUUAGAAAAGUCUGAAGUGAAAGGCAGUGGCUCAACCAUUGUAGGCUUUGGAAACUGUUUAACUUGAGUGCGGAAGGGGAGAGUGGAAUUCCAUGUGUAGCGGUGAAAUGCGUAGAUAUAUGGAGGAACACCGGUGGCGAAAGCGGCUCUCUGGUCUGUAACUGACGCUGAGGCUCGAAAGCGUGGGGAGCGAACAGG
rnacentral:rRNA from 1 species